rnacentral:lncRNA from 1 species
UCACCUUGUGAAGAUUGGAGUUAUGUUGCCACAAGCCAAGAACACCCAAGAUUGCCGUCAAACCACCAGCAGCUAGGAGAGAAGCAUGGGACAGAUGCUCAUAGCCCUCAGAAGAAACCAACCUUGCCGACAGCUUGAUUUCAGACUUCUGGCCUCCAGAAUGGUAGAGAGGCUCUGUCUCCCUCCAGGCCUCCCCUGACCUCUCCAGUGGGUGUCCUCACAGCACUUGGGCUAACCUGACUCUGCCUCUAACUUGCUGUGUGACUACAGGCAACACACCGACCCUUGCUGGGCCUUGGAAUCUCCACUUAUAAGAUGGAGUGAUUAAAUGUCCCAUGACAGGGGCUUGGUUAGAUAAAUUUGGAUACAUGCAUAUAAUGGCCCCCAGUGAUCCCAAUCUGCUGGCAUUCAUGCCCUUGUGGAGCCCUCUCCACAAGGAUUAGGGCUGACCCGUGUAAUCACUAGGAUACUGCAGAUAUGACAGUGUGUGGCUUCUGAGGCUAGGUCAUACAAGAUAUGGAGUCUUCCAUCUUGCUCUCUCUUGGAUCACUCGCUCUGGGGGAAGCCAGCUGCCAAGUCAUGAGGACACUCAACAGCCCUCUGGAGAGAGAUCCUCCUGCCAACAGCCAGCACUGACCUACUAGCCAUGUGAGCGAACCACCUUGAAAGUGGAUCCUCCAGCCCUGAUCAAGCCUUCAGAUGAGACUGCAGCCACAGCCAACAUCUUAACUGCAGUCUUAUGAGAGACACUGAGCCAGAACCACCUAGCCAAGCUGCUCCCAGACUCCAUACCCACAGAAAAUGUAGGAGAUAAUAAGUGUUUAUUGUUUUAAGCUGCUGGAUUUUGAGGCAAUUUAUUGUGCAGUAAUAGAAAACUAAUACAGCAGCCAUAUAGAAGUAUGUUAUAAAACAGUGCACUACUACAAAGAGAUUUUCAUGAAAUGUUAAGUGGGGGGAAAAAUAAAGUAAGCCACCAAACAGUAUAUGAUAAUAGGAUCCAGUUUUGGAAGUCAAAUGUGAAGAGUUCUAAAACUCUAUCAAGGAACAAAAAAGAAGACAUAAAUGGAAAGAUGGAGAACCUUUGUUUUUGGAUGGAAAAUUUCAGUAUAGAAGAUUUAUCAAUCUCUCUGAAUUAAAUUAAAUGCAAU